UACGGAGGGGACUAGCGUUGUUCGGAAUUACUGGGCGUAAAGCGCACGUAGGCGGAUUUGUAAGUCAGGGGUGAAAUCCCGGGGCUCAACCCCCGGAACUGCCUUUGAUACUGCAAAUCUCGAGUCCGGAAGAGGUGAGUGGAAUUCCUAGUGUAGAGGUGAAAUUCGUAGAUAUUAGGAAGAACACCAGUGGCGAAGGCGGCUCACUGGUCCGGUACUGACGCUGAGGUGCGAAAGCGUGGGGAGCAAACAGG
rnacentral:rRNA from 1 species